rnacentral:tRNA from 4 species
CUGUUAGCUCAGUUGGUAGAGCAACUGACUCUUAAUCAGUGGGUCUAGGGUUCGAAUCCCU